UUGAAGGAGCGACAAAAAAACAGAGAGGAUACUUACAGUCAAGUUAGGGUUGGCGAUUACCCCCCUGAUCUUUGAUCACGAUGGCGAGCUCUCUGAUGAGGCUUUUGCAAAAGCCAGCACAGUCCUUCUCUGCGCUGUGGUCACUAUCAGCUUCUGCAGCAGCUCCACGCCCCGGAGCCUUGAAAGCAGUCGCGCCUCUGCAAUCAGUACGAUGCUGGUGCGGUGGACAGGAGUACAAGCCAAACUACUUGCGUCGGCAGCGUAAGAUCUGCCUGCUCAAGCGCCGGCUCACCCUCGGUGGUCUGCGCCUGCUGCAACGGAGAAAGAUGAAGGGCAGAUGGUACAUGGUCGGUUGAGUCGUCUUCACCAUGUUUCUAUGUCGGAUUUUAUCUGAACACUGCUGAGUUUGAUCCCUAUCAAACUAUACCGCCUUGUGCCCUCGCUGAAUCUAUCCAUUGCUCAAUCUGUACUGGAAGAAAGAAUACUCUAAUGUACA